UACGGACCACGGAGCGUUUGGAA
rnacentral:piRNA from 1 species